GUGGGGAAUAUUGGGCAAUGGGCGCAAGCCUGACCCAGCAACGCCGCGUGAAGGAAGAAGGCUUUCGGGUUGUAAACUUCUUUUGUCGGGGACGAAACAAAUGACGGUACCCGACGAAUAAGCCACGGCUAACUACGUGCCAGCAGCCGCGGUAAUACGUAGGUGGCAAGCGUUAUCCGGAUUUACUGGGUGUAAAGGGCGUGUAGGCGGGAUUGCAAGUCAGAUGUGAAAACUGGGGGCUCAACCUCCAGCCUGCAUUUGAAACUGUAGUUCUUGAGUGCUGGAGAGGCAAUCGGAAUUCCGUGUGUAGCGGUGAAAUGCGUAGAUAUACGGAGGAACACCAGUGGCGAAGGCGGAUUGCUGGACAGUAACUGACGCUGAGGCGCGAAAGCGUGGGGAGCAAACAGGA
rnacentral:rRNA from 1 species